GGGGAGAGGCCUUUGGGUUGUAACUCCUUUUCUCAGGGAAGAAGAACUGACGGUACCUGAGGAAUCAGCCUCGGCUAACUCCGUGCCAGCAGCCGCGGUAAUACGGAGGAGGCAAGCGUUAUCCGGAAUUAUUGGGCGUAAAGCGUUCGUAGGCGGCGUUUCAAGUCUGCUGUCAAAGGCCGAGGCUCAACUUCGGAAAGGCAGUGGAAACUGAAAAGCUAGAGGUCGGUAGGGGCAGAGGGAAUUCCCAGUGUAGCGGUGAAAUGCGUAGAUAUUGGGAAGAACACCGGUGGCGAAAGCGCUCUGCUGGGCCGAACCUGACGCUGAGGGACGAAAGCUAGGGGAGCGAAAGGGAUUAGAUACCCCCAGUA
rnacentral:rRNA from 1 species